UGCAUAUCAAUAAGUGGAGGAAAAGAAACUAACAAGGAUUCCCCUAGUAACGGCGAGUGAAGCGGGAAGAGCUCAAAUUUAAAAUCUGGCAGGCUACGCUUGUCCGAAUUGUAAUCUCGAGAAGUGUUUUCCGCGUUGGCCUGUGUACAAGUCCCUUGGAACAGGGCGUCAUAGAGGGUGAGAAUCCCGUCCUUGACACAGACACCCAAUGCUUUGUGAUACACUCUCAAUGAGUCGAGUUGUUUGGGAAUGCAGCUCAAAAUGGGUGGUAAAUUCCAUCUAAAGCUAAAUACUGGCGAGAGACCGAUAGCGAACAAGUACCGUGAGGGAAAGAUGAAAAGCACUUUGGAAAGAGAGUCAAACAGUACGUGAAAUUGUUGAAAGGGAAACGAUUGAAGUCAGUCGUGCCUGCCUAGAUUCAGCCUUCUGGUGUAUUUCUAGGUCGGCAGGUCAGCAUCAGUUUGGGGGGGUUAACAAGGGAGCUGGGAAUGUGGCAACCUCGGUUGUGUUAUAGCCCAGUUUCGCAUUGAUCUCGCUGGACUGAGGAACGCAGUGCGCCCGCAAGGGUUGGUCUUCGGACACAUUCGCACUUAGGAUGCUGGCAUAGCCACGCGUU
rnacentral:rRNA from 1 species